AUGAUGUGGAUUAAUUCGAUGCAACGCGAAAACCUUACCUACCCUUGACAUGUCCGGAAUCCCGAAGAGAUUUUGGGAGUGCUCGCAAGAGAACCGGAACACAGGUGCUGCAUGGCUGUCGUCAGCUCGUGUCGUGAGAUGUUGGGUUAAGUCCCGCAACGAGCGCAACCCUUGUCAUUAGUUGCCAUCAUUUGGUUGGGCACUCUAAUGAGACUGCCGGUGACAAACCGGAGGAAGGUGGGGAUGACGUCAAGUCCUCAUGGCCCUUAUGGGUAGGGCUUCACACGUCAUACAAUGGUCGGUACAGAGGGUUGCCAACCCGCGAGGGGGAGCUAAUCCCACAAAGCCGAUCGUAGUCCGGAUCGCAGUCUGCAACUCGACUGCGUGAAGUCGGAAUCGCUAGUAAUCGUGGAUCAGCAUGUCACGGUGAAUACGUUCCCGGGUCUU
rnacentral:rRNA from 1 species